rnacentral:tRNA from 1 species
GCAGGGGUUCCCGAGUGGUCAAAGGGGGCGGGCUCAAGAUCCGCUGCCAAGUGCUUCACAGGUUCAAAUCCUGUCCCCUGCACCA